UCCAUACGAAAGAUAUGAAAUCAAAUUCAGCGCUGUUAUAAGCUCUAAAAUUGCCUCUGCAUCAUGACAUAUACUCGUGAACAUUUUGUUGGGAAAAAAUUGCAAGCUUAUUGGACCAACUUCAGAAUCAAUCGAUGGCUUGGAUUUUUGGAUAGUCUGUCCCGGUUAGAGACUAUCAACAAUUUUUGACCAUUGUCCAGAUGGGCAUGCGACUUUCUGGAACAAAAUAAGGACUGGAGAUAAUUCAAAUCCCCAUGAUAAUUGGUACACACUUAACCACUCAGAUAAGAGUGUGGAAUCUGUAUCCGACAUGUUUAGUAUGACUUUAACCUAUCCAACAGGCACGAUAAUUAGGAUCUACCGGAAGGAAUUAUACAUAGGCGUGAAAAGACCUAAGGCACCUAGUAAAACGCCAUUUAUCCUACAAAAUCAUAGAAACGCGGCAAGCAACAUUCAUAGUUUGGGGUAUCCCCACGCCCUUAAGAUAGAACUUAGACGAAUCCGACACUUUGGCCAUAUACCUGCAGCCGACACAUGAAUCCUAAUCGACCUAACCCGAGUACCACAGGUUGAAAAUUCAUUACUAAACAAACCGGUGAACGUUUCUUCCCAAGAAAAUCAUCCAUGGGUCAACAAAACAAGACAUUGUGUGAUAACUGAAGAUAAAUGCAUGCACUUACUCCUGUAUUGAACGGCCGUUCUAGGAAAUUCUGUGAUGAUGCCAUCGACUCCCCCACCCAUUACGAAGUUGUUGAUUUCCACAUUCACAUCCGAGAAGAAAUCCCAGGCCUGAGACACAAACUCAUUUUGAAAAACUUCUGCGUACACCUUGAGUUCGAAUGCCUGUAGCUUUUGCACAACAUCUGUCCUGCCAGUGAGAUACUUCUCGACAUUAGGAAAUACGGAGGCCUUGCUUAU